CUAUCUGCAGUCGAGCGAUCUUUAGGAGCUUGCUCCUAUUGGUUAGCGGCGGACGGGUGAGUAACACGUGGGCAACCUGCCUGUAAGACUGGGAUAACUUCGGGAAACCGGAGCUAAUACCGGAUAAUCCAUUUCCUCUCAUGAGGAAAUGCUGAAAGAUGGUUUCGGCUAUCACUUACAGAUGGGCCCGCGGCGCAUUAGCUAGUUGGUGAGGUAACGGCUCACCAAGGCGACGAUGCGUAGCCGACCUGAGAGGGUGAUCGGCCACACUGGGACUGAGACACGGCCCAGACUCCUACGGGAGGCAGCAGUAGGGAAUCUUCCGCAAUGGACGAAAGUCUGACGGAGCAACGCCGCGUGAGCGAAGAAGGCCUUCGGGUCGUAAAGCUCUGUUGUUAGGGAAGAACAAGUAUCGGAGUAACUGCCGGUACCUUGACGGUACCUAACCAGAAAGCCACGGCUAACUACGUGCC
rnacentral:rRNA from 1 species